GACCACUAUCGCCAUCACUUGGGCCGGUGGACUCCACCACGCCAAGAAGUUCGAAGCAUCUGGUUUCUGUUACGUGAACGACAUCGUCCUGGCCAUUUCUGAGCUACUCGAGACAUCGGGGCUGGAAAGAACAAAUACUACACGGUGAAUUACCCACAAAGCCGUCUUUAAACCGCCCAUAACCAAAGAAUAACCUGUGAGGAGGAGGUCCAAGAAUGCUGCCAACCAAGAGGGAAAAAGGAAGCAGAAGAAAGGUAACCUGUGGAUUAACUACUGCCAGAACUAGUAGUUAGUGGUGUUGUCUUUAUUUGAGAGCAUUUGUAUGUAAUGUCUUUAUUUCAUCUUG